AGGCAGCAGUAAGGAAUAUUGGUCAAUGGACGAAAGUCUGAACCAGCCAUGCCGCGUGGAGGAUUAAGGCCCUCUGGGUUGUAAACUCCUUUUAUCUGGGAAGAAAUGCCAUUUUUCUAAAUGGUUUGACGGUACCAGAGGAAUAAGCACCGGCUAACUCCGUGCCAGCAGCCGCGGUAAUACGGAGGGUGCAAGCGUUAUCCGGAUUCACUGGGUUUAAAGGGUGCGUAGGCGGGCAGGUAAGUCCGUGGUGAAAUCUCUGAGCUUAACUCAGAAACUGCCAUGGAUACUAUUUGUCUUGAAUACUGUGGAGGUAAGCGGAAUAUGUCAUGUAGCGGUGAAAUGCUUAGAUAUGACAUGGAACACCAAUUGCGAAGGCAGCUUACUACACAGUUAUUGACGCUGAGGCACGAAAGCGUGGGGAUCAAACAGGAUUAGAUACCCUGGUAG
rnacentral:rRNA from 1 species